ensembl:lncRNA
AAAUGAAUGGAAAAGCAUUACAUGAGCACAGGUAGACUAUAAGCUUUCCACUCCAUGUCUAGAAGAAAAACAUGAGUGAGGAUAUAGAAAAAAAUAUUCAAUGUGAAUAUCACUGGAAAUACAUCAGUUCUUUUAUUUUUAUGUGUGGUUACACAAGACUCUGCUUGAUUGACUGUGAUUAAACAUGAAGAAAAUCAAGCAAAACAAUGGAGCAAAGAACAACGCAGGUGCUCUUUUCCUGGGGUUUUUGAAGUAGUGCACUAUGUGCAAAGCCAGUGAGCCGCACUUUGUGUUGGCUGGCUGGGGAAACAGGCUUAUUGUAAAAGCCUUGUUAUUGUCAUCUGACAUCUACAGAAAGUUUCAAAGAAUUCUGUUAUCAAAACUAGUGAGCAAGCUUAGGAGAAGCAAAAACGUAACAAAGCAACAGCAACAAAAAGUUAUAUUUGCAAGAGGCGGCUUGGUAUUGAUGGAUCUGUCCUACAUUGAAUUUUUUAAUAGUCCACAAACCCCCAGGGAAGCGGGACAUCUGUUGGAGUACUCUUUCAGUAGACAUCUCAAGUGGCCAGCUAACCUGCUGGGGAAUGGAUCAUCCUGCAGAGGGUGAAUCAUGAGCUCACAGAUGAAAGUCACCCAAGAUGACAUCCCAGAUACUAUUGGCAAACAUCAUACAUGCCGAAAUCAAAGAUGAAGCUGUCAAACAGUAAGAGUGGAUGCUGCAGGGAUAGACAGCAACAUCAUGUUAAAGAAAACGCUCUCAGAA